GGGCUAUUUCAGCUCUCAGCUCACGGAUCAGUUUGACGUUAGGAUCUUCAUUAAUAGUAGGCUUGUUGAUGAUGUUUUUGGCUCUAUUUGCAUAGCGAAGUGUACUUAAAGUUUCUCCAUAAUUGACAUCAGCAGGUGAAAUAGUGGCAAUCAUUAUAGUUUUAGAGUUUCCUCCUAGGCUAUCUUUUAACAGCCAAGUCAACACAGAGUCUCUGUAAGGCACAAAUACUUGCUUCUUCUUUGAAAGAGGAUUUGUUGCAUCCUGAGAUAAAUCAGCUAAGGCAGAAAUGACAUUUCCCAGAGUAACGAGAGAUUUGUUAAUAUUCCCGCCUUCCUUUAAUCUAACUCCUGUGGCACCAGUGGCAUCUGCUCUCUCACUUCCAGCAAGAUCUACCAAAUGAAUCUUGCUAACAGUCUCACAAGGCAUUUCAGAAUCAAAUUUAGCCUGAGUGAAGUUGAUUGUGAAAAUGGCAUGAGACCUGCUGCUGACAUCAUUCAUUCCAGUUGCAGCUGUAGUUCUGUUUAUAUUUCCUGCAUCCAUAAGUUCUUCUAUAUCACCAUAAUUUUGCACUAAAUGUUUAGACAAAUCUUCAACAUACGGUCCCUCUUUUGGAUGUUCUCGGAUUCGUAAAUUAUUCGUUUUUGAUGACUUCCGCCUGAGCAGAUCUCUCACACGUUCAUUAUAGAUUUCCAGAUAGCUCACUUCUGUUCGAAAGGACGCCUCAUUCCGUUUUGUUUUUUCACUUAUUUUGCUGAAUAACCCUUCACAAAUCCGAGGUAUUAAGCCAGCAUCACCCGCAUUUCCCAUCAUGGUGUAGGACUUCCCAGAUCCAGUCUGUCCAUAUGCAAAAACACAAGCAUUAUAACCUUCAAAAGCAGAUUGAAGCACAUCUGUACCAAGGUUUUUGAAAACCGUUUCUUGACAAACAAAGCUGGGACUUUUACUGUCUGCAGAGAAAUAGGAAAAAUCAUAGGUAAAGGUCUUAGUUCUUUCUCUUCCUGUAUCGCCAGUACCACCCUCUGGUAUCUUCAAGUUUGUGAUUGUCGUUUUAUUUUUCUCCAUUGAAAUAAUAAACUUAGCAUUGAGAUCUUUCUCCCGGCGGUUCAUGGGCCGCACCCGCACGGCCACCUUCACCGAGGCCAUGACGUGCUCCGGCCCGGCCCGGC
rnacentral:lncRNA from 1 species